GGUCUUGACAUCCACAGAAUUUCCCAGAGAUGGGAAGUGCCUUCGGGAACUGUGAGACAGGUGCUGCAUGGCUGUCGUCAGCUCGUGUUGUGAAAUGUUGGGUUAAGUCCCGCAACGAGCGCAACCCUUAUCCUUUGUUGCCAGCACGUGAUGGUGGGAACUCAAAGGAGACUGCCGGUGAUAAACCGGAGGAAGGUGGGGAUGACGUCAAGUCAUUAUGGCCCUUACGACCAGGGCUACACACGUGCUACAAUGGCGCAUACAAAGAGAAGCGACCUCGCGAGAGCAAGCGGACCUCAUAAAGUGCGUCGUAGUCCGGAUUGGAGUCUGCAACCCGACUCCAUGAAGUCGGAAUCGCUAGUAAUCGUGGAUCAGAAUGCCACGGUGAAUACGUUCCCGGGCCUUGUACACACCGCCCGUCACACCAUGGGAGUGGGUUGCAAAAGAAGUAGGUAGCUUAACCUCCGGGAGGGCGCUUACCACUUUGUGAUUCAUGACUGGGGUGAAGUCGUAACAAGGUAAGCGUACGUGU
rnacentral:rRNA from 1 species